rnacentral:rRNA from 1 species
GAUGAACGCUGGCGGCGUGCCUAACACAUGCAAGUCGAGCGAAAAGAUAAGGAGCUUUCCUUCUUUACUUUAGCGGCGCAGGGGUGAGUAACAUGUGUGUAACCCUCCUUUAAGACGGGGAAAACCUCGUGAAAACGGUAGCUAAUCCGGCAUAUAUUCCCAACAGCAAAGUUCGAUAGCUUAAGACGGCUUUGCUACCACUUAUAGCAGAUCCCAUGCGGUAUUAGCUAGUAGGUAAGGUAACGGCUUACCUAGGCGACGAUCCGUAGCCGACCUGAGAGGAUGAUCAGCCACACUGGAACUGAGACACGGUCCAGACUCCUACGGGAGGCAGCAGUGGGGAAUAUUCCGCAAUGGGCGAAAGCCUGACGGAGCAACGCCGCGUGUAUGAUGAAGGUCUUCGGGUCGUAAAGCUCUUUUAGUGGGGAGGAAGGGACGAGUGUGUAACUGUGCACGUAUUGACGGUACCCGAAGAAGAAGCCACGGCUAACUCCGUG